rnacentral:rRNA from 1 species
AUUGAACGCUGGCGGCAGGCCUAACACAUGCAAGUCGAACGAGUGGCGGACGGGUGAGUAAUGUCUGGGAAACUGCCUGAUGGAGGGGGAUAACUACUGGACACGGUAGCUAAUACCGCAUACCAUCGGAUGUGCCCAGAUGGGAUUAGCUAGUAGGUGGGGUAACGGCUCACCUAGGCGACGAUCCCUAGCUGGUCUGAGAGGAUGACCAGCCAGACUGGAACUAGGACACGGACCAGACUCCGACGGGAGGCAGCAGUGGGGAAUAUUGCACAAUGGGCGAAAGCCUGAUGCAGCCAUGCCGCGUGUAUGAAGAAGGCGUUCGGGUUGUAAAGUACUUUCGGCGGGGAGGCGUUACCCGAAGAAGAAGCACCGGCUAACUCCGUGCCAGCAGCCGCGGUAAUUC